UUUUUUGCAAACAAAUGAAAAUUGCAAGGUGAAAUAGAAGAAUUCAUGCACAACUAAUACGGAGGUGCAGUGCAACUCAAAUUACAACAGCCUAACGUUUUCAAAUCUCCAUUGCCAUACUCUCUCAACUCACACAAGGACUGAAAACCAGAAAAGGCAGAUGCUAUCGGAAUUCAGUUAUACUACAGGCUUUUUCCCUCAUAAACAAAAGGCAAAAGUCAUGGCUGCCAAUCACAUAACUUUUACAUAGAAAUACAUAUUACUGCUGUUACAUAUAAGUGUGCUGAUGGCAUAUGACCAUUUAGGGCACACAAUAUAGAGCUUGAUAAGUAUUGGUGUCAAGGUCCACAAUAAUUGAUUGGUGAAUUGCAUCAUCAGUUCACGUAUGUCCCCCAAAACAAUGCAGGGUGGGCCAAGGUGAGGCACAAUUUUCUCAAACCCUGUUCAGCUGAUCUUUUCUGACCUAGACUGAAGGCUUCAUCAAAAGGGCAGAGGGCUGACUUCAGGAUUUGUAGGUCACUGUUGUCCAUAGAAUGAGGCUAAUAUCCAUGAUGUUUUCUUUGGUUAACUGAGUUCUGAACAGAUAACCCUGCACCACCAGAACGUCCAGAAGAUAAGCCACCAUAUGCUCCAUACCCACUUUCACCACCACUCAGUGAACUACCAUUAUUUCCGUAAUUGUCACUUGGGGGCAAAUCACGAGAACUGUAACCACCAGCUGAAGAGUAUCCACGUCCACGUGAUUGAUUGUCUCGGGUCCCAUAUUUUGGACCAUCUAACAUGUCCACUGAAACGGGAAUAUAUGGAAGAGCUGGUGGAAGUGCACUGAGUGCUCCAUCCCUUGCAAAUAAAUUGGCUUUCAACCUCAAAAUAACAUGUAAGAGAGCAUUGCUAGCAACAUCAAGGCUGCCAGUGAUCUGCACCAUCUCAUCAUCCUCAGAAGCAACCUCAGGAAGGUUUUCCUCUGCGAGAAUCCGAAUGCUUGCCCUUGUCACACUCCUCAUCUCAGAAAUGAUAGCCCCUCCUUUACCCAUAAGGCAACCAAUCUGUGACCUUGGCACAAGUAGACGAGUGGUAAUUACAGAAUCACUCGAUUCCCUUUCAGUUUUCUCACUGCAUCGGGGUUGCAAACGCAGUGCUGCAGUGAGUGUUGGUGAAUGUUCUUCAAAAAACUCCUUUGCUGAUAUAAAUAUAAUACAAUCAUCUCCUUCAGCACCUGAACUAUCAACUUUGAUGGAAGCCCUAGAUUCCUGACGAAUUUGCUUAAUGAUACCACCACCUUUUCCAAUGACACCUCCAAUAUUUCCAGCGGGACACACCAUACGAAGAGAGAACUCUUUAGCAGAAGCUUCAUCUCUCUGAUCAGAGCAAAAAGAUGAUGACCAUCCACCUUUGUAAUUUCCAUAAAGACCCAUUAGAGGGGCACCAGCAUUUGCAGUCACAAACAUGCCACCAGAUUGAUACAUGUUGGUUGAAGAAGACAAAAGCAGGUGCUGGGAUCGAGAUGGAUUCACAUGAAGGCGAGAAGCCACUUGAUAAAGAGCCUUUCUAACAAUUGCAGGUUCUCCAAUAAUCUGAAGAAGCUCAUCACUACUUAAAGCCAGAGGAGGCAGAUGCUCAUCCUUUAGAAUACGAAUCUGAGCGCCGGUUUCGCCCCUUAUAUUCUGAAUCACUUGUCCACCUUUCCCAAUAACACAGCCAAUCUGAUCAGAAGGCACAAGCAAUCUAACAGUAACCUGUUGAGGCUCCCCAAAUUCAUCAUCCCCAUCAUUAGUAUUAUUAGGCGGCAGGUCCUCGGAAACAAUCCUAUCAUGAACCAUGAAAAGAGCAUCCUGAGCAGGGGAAACGAACUCUCCAGUAUCUCCAAAGAGAUUGGUCUUCUCACCAGAGCUGUAAAUAGUAACAAUGCGCUCCUCAAACCCUGGCAUAGCCUCGCCAAUUCUAAUAUUGGAUUUACUCUCCGACCUCAAUUGCUUAGCAAUCUCUCCGCCUCGCCCAAUUAUACUCCCAAUCUUUCUCAGCGGGCAUAAGUAGCGGUACACGGUGUCUUCGCUCCCAAUCGCAUGCGGCUGGUCAAUAUCAUCGCCGGGGUUCCUCCGCUUGCCUCCGCCGUAGUCAGAUUGGGAAUUGGAUCUCUUGCCGUAGUCAUUUCUCUGGCCGGCCAUAGAGAGAUACAGAUCUGGAAAUGGUUAGAGACAGAAAGAGAGAGAGGGUAACACGUAAACUAAGAAGAAGAUGAACUACAAAGGCGAAUUCUUGUGGUGUGCGCGUCUGAUAAUUUGACUUUUUGGUAGUUU
rnacentral:misc_RNA from 1 species